rnacentral:rRNA from 1 species
AUUGAACGCUGGCGGCAGGCCUAACACAUGCAAGUCGAGCGGCAGCGACUUAACUGAACCUUCGGGGAACGUUAAGGGCGGCGAGCGGCGGACGGGUGAGUAAUGCCUGGGAAUAUGCCCUGAUGUGGGGGAUAACUAUUGGAAACGAUAGCUAAUACCGCAUAAUCUCUUCGGAGCAAAGAGGGGGACCUUCGGGCCUCUCGCGUCAGGAUUAGCCCAGGUGGGAUUAGCUUGUUGGUGAGGUAAUGGCUCACCAAGGCAACGAUCCCUAGCUGGUCUGAGAGGAUGAUCAGCCACACUGGAACUGAGACACGGUCCAGACUCCUACGGGAGGCAGCAGUGGGGAAUAUUGCACAAUGGGGGAAACCCUGAUGCAGCCAUGCCGCGUGUGUGAAGAAGGCCUUCGGGUUGUAAAGCACUUUCAGUAGGGAGGAAGGUAGUGUAGUUAACACCUGCACUAUUUGACGUUACCUACAGAAGAAGCACCGGCUAACUCCGUGCCAGCAGCCGCGGUAAUACGGAGGGUGCGAGCGUUAAUCGGAAUUACUGGGCGUAAAGCGCAUGCAGGCGGCCUGUUAAGUCAGAUGUGAAAGCCCGGGGCUUAACCUCGGAAUUGCAUUUGAAACUGGCAGGCUAGAGUCUUGUAGAGGGGGGUAGAAUUUCAGGUGUAGCGGUGAAAUGCGUAGAGAUCUGAAGGAAUACCAGUGGCGAAGCGGCCCCCUGGACAAAGACUGACGCUCAGAUGCGAAAGCGUGGGGAGCAAACAGG